AACGAACGCUGGCGGCAGGCCUAACACAUGCAAGUCGAGCGCCCGCAAGGGAGCGGCGGACGGGUGAGUAACGCGUGGGAACGUGCCCUUUGCUACGGAAUAGCCUCGGGAAACUGAGAGUAAUACCGUAUGUGCCCUUCGGGGGAAAGAUUUAUCGGCAAAGGAUCGGCCCGCGUUGGAUUAGGUAGUUGGUGGGGUAAUGGCCUACCAAGCCGACGAUCCAUAGCUGGUUUGAGAGGAUGAUCAGCCACACUGGGACUGAGACACGGCCCAGACUCCUACGGGAGGCAGCAGUGGGGAAUCUUAGACAAUGGGCGCAAGCCUGAUCUAGCCAUGCCGCGUGAGCGAUGAAGGCCUUAGGGUUGUAAAGCUCUUUCGUGGGGGAAGAUAAUGACGGUACCCCAAGAAGAAGCCCCGGCUAACUCCGUGCCAGCCGCCGCCGUAA
rnacentral:rRNA from 1 species